GUAACGCAAACGGGGGAGGAAGCGGAGUAGCAAACCUUUUGAGCCUACGAACAGAAACCUGAUAUAAGGCUAAAUGGCGGAUAAGGCUGCAAGCCAAGCCAAAGUCCAAAGGGUAAACGUAACGCCAAGACAGUAAAUCAGGAGGUUGUGAAGGGAAAGAUUA
rnacentral:ncRNA from 1 species